CCUUCUGCGCGUGCUCUGUCCUCUGCGCGCGCAGGCGCGCAUUAAAUGCGUUGCAGUCGACCGUUGCGUGCGAAGUAGUCGUUGCUCCGCUGGCACACCGGACAGUCCGGUGUGUCACCGGACACUGAUCGGUGCCUCACCGGACAGUCCGGUGAAUUAUAGCGGAGCGGCCUCCCAUUUUCCCGAAGGUGAGGAGUUCAGCGUCGAGUUCCCUGGUGCACCGGACACUGUUCGGUGGCACACCGGACAGUCUGGUGCGCCAGACCAGGGUGCCUUUGGGAUGUCUUUAGCUGUCUUUAUUUGAAUCCAUCUUUGGUCUUUUUAUUGGCUUGUUGUGAACCUUUGGCACCUGUAAAACUUAUAGACUAGAGCAAACUAGUUAGUCCAAUUAUUUGUGUUGGGCAAUUCAACCAUCAAAAUCAAUUUAGGAAAAGGUGUAAGCCUAUUUCCCUUUCAAAGUCAAUGUUAUAAGCAGGGAAAUUGUCCUACAGAAUUUCCUUAAUGAUUUCACCUAUAUGAGCUGAUUGUGGGGUCGCACUCCGGGAGAGAAUGGGGUUUCCUCUCUAGUGAUCUCAUGAAUAGAUAUUAAAGGGCAUGACCGUAACGCCCUGCCCCAUAAGAGAAGCAGAUAAUCUGCCUAGUACUAUGUGCCUUUUGUGCGAAGACUCUCACACUAGGGUUUGUGGAUCAAGGCGUAGUCCUCCGCUUAUUCGUGCAGGGUUGGAGUACACUGGGAUAGGCUUUGGUUCAAACCUAACAAGUACCUCUGCCGAAAGUAGUAUAUAAACAGUACGGGAGCUCAAUGACAUUGAUCAAAAAAUAAGAGUGAAAAUGGUGGGGAUUGCUGUUAAUUGGGGUUUUCCCUUUAUUAAAAAAAGAGAGGAGAAAGGGGGUUAGCCGGGCUGGGCCGCUAGAAGGCCUUACAGCCGAGCAACCCAGCUGAUGACUUAACCCUAGAUGCAAGAGCCGUAUCCCGAGAGGCAAGAAAAAGGAGCAGAGAGCUGGGCGGCGGAGGCGACUGAACGACAUCUCCGUUUUCAGUGGCUUGCUCGGCUGUAGCUUUAGCCCUCUCCUUGCGCGACUACCUCCUGCUUGGCUCCUUAUAAUGGGAGUUCGAUCUCCUGGCUUGGGAUUGAAAGCUGUAGCUGGUGCUGCGCACGUGCAGCAACGGUUCCUUGUGCUUUUUUUCUGUGCUCGGACGCCUGUGUGGUGCUGUUCUCUGAUCUUUGUCCACUGUGGCCUGGUGCUUGGACUCCCUGCUGCGCGGUGUUCCUCUUCUCGGGCUGGUGCCGUGGACGUCUCCUUCGGCUCCGGCAGCGGCUCUAGUAUUUUCGUCAACCUCCUGCCGUGCAGGCCCGGACUUGGGCGGCAGAAUUAGUUUUCUAGGACAGAACAUUGUGUUCACUGAGCUGGUCUUCCCACGUAGACAAUCUACGUGCUGUGAGUUACCCGUUGCAUCCCUAUAUUUAUUGUUUAAUUUUGUGCAAUCUGCUAGUAUUAAAAUACUUGGAGUGUGAUUGCACUAUUGUGGGUGGAUUUGUUUGCUCAAUGAUAAUAGUGGUGUAGUGAGACAACGUGACAGUCUGGGUUUUAGUGUGUUGUUAUUUUCAGCAUUGAUAUUAUUUAUGCCUAAUUAUAUCUCUAUUUGUUGAGGUUGUUUACCUGUGUUAAAUUCUGCUAUAUUAUUUAAUUCACAGUUUCUUACUAUUAGUAUUUAUACUUUAUUAUUAGGCUUAUUACAUCUGAUCUAAAACCCUGAUUUGGUGAGAUAGGACUGUCACGUUAGUCAAGGAUCUCUGAUCACCAUUUAGCGUUGGAGGGAUGUUUAUUACAGUAACCCGCUAUUUUGAGAGCAAUAUAAAAAGAUAAACAAUAAUGUUUAUGUGAUUAAUCUGCCUUCUUCAUCUACAAGCCAUGUUUAAUUCUCAAAUGGACUUGAAUAGCUAUGUUUCAUGUAUUCAUGUACCAGAAUUGCUACUGUUUAUUGUUGUUAUAAUUACAUAUGGCAUCUAUCUGAGUUAUAUGUCUGUUUUAUUCAGAAUUAUAAUAUCUAAUAUAUUUAAGUAUAAUGGAAGCAUGUCACUUAUUUCUCUAAUAUUACAACAGUCCUUACGUAGGGAGGACUGAAGUCUCCGGUGAAGAGUUGCAAAGGAAGCAACUCAGGUUGGAUGGCUAUCCCAUCUCUUGAAUAUUGCCCCUGUUUGUUUCGGCUUUUUGGAGCUUCUGACCACCAAAAGCUGUUGCGGACUGCCAAACACUCAACUUUUCAGUCAGCUUCUAUAAAAUUCGUUUGGGUAAAAACCAUUCAAAAUCAACAUAAACACAUAAUCGGUUGAGUCGUUGCAAUAGUAGGAAUCCGCCACUUUCUACAUCCUGAGUCCUAUGGACACAUUUAUCUUCUUCUGCACGUAAUCUUAAUGAUACUUAAAUUCUCUACACAACCAGAUUCUCCUCACAGCCAGAUUCUCAGAAAAACUGGUCAGAAAAAAACUGAACCAAACAUGCCCAUUAUCUCCGCAUUCAGCACUCUUUUUAUGUAGCGGGGUCCACGCAAAGAAGCUGCAUUUUGGUUCAGCUAUUGCUUUCUAUAUUGGGCAGAUCUUGAUUUUGUUAAAGUUGUUUGCAAACAUAAUUUUGUUUGCGCUACUUGUUGUAUACUGCCAUUUUCCCUCCAUUUCCAAGAGAUUGUAUCCACAUAAUUAUUUUGCACAUGUUUGUUGUUUAUGGCUUGCUAGAGAGAGACAAAGUCAGUAAAAUUUCUAUUUCUAUUUGGGAAACCUUCUUUAGUCAUACUGUUUGUUUGACAUUUUACGGACUAAAAGUAACUAAAAUUAAGCACCACUAGAUUAUUCACUGAUCAUAGUUCUAUUGUAUAUUUGUUUGAUGACAUAAUUAAAAUAUUUGCAAUGUCUUUAUAGUUUUGGUCAGAUUUGAGAUGCUUCUGACUCUCCAAUAAUAAUUGGACCGAGUUAUUAUACUUGGUAAAAGGAAGGAGUACAACGAUUGGCUGUAAACCUUUUCCCCACAGCUAGCACUCAACCCACACUCCAUCCCACUGAUGAAUCCUGCCCACCUUGCUGCAGCAAGAGAGAGAUGCCAGUAUGCCACGAGCCUGUGGCUGGCAAAACAGGAGCCAGCAGAGGGUGUAAAAACGACACAUCAAAAGCAGUCUGGUUCUGCUUGUCUUUCGCCGGCUGCACCUUCAAGAGUGGCUUGCCAUCAGUGCAACUUGCCACCCGGCUCAGGAGGUUUCUGUGUUGGGUAUCCUUCGUCAUCGUGCACCACCAGUCCACCACACGUCCACACCAGGUACAAGAAGGAGUAUCCCGGCGAGGUCACCGGCAUCGUCGUCUUCUCGCUCGUGACUCAUCGCCUCCAUCGCCGGCUGCACCUUUGGUUACGACAUCGGCCUCACCUGUGACUAUCUGUGAGUGACCAACACCUCAUAGAGUCAGGCCAUGAUACCUUCUCCAGCUAGCGGGGGCUUGAUCUGACCCUAAGCUAACCGACGUUGUAUGUUACUGUCGCCGCCGACGCCUUGGUGGUGACCGUGGUCGUGAAUCCGGGUUGAAGUCGUCGGAGCCAUUUCUGGUCAAGUUCUUCCCAUGUAAGCGUGAAAACGGCCGGUAACGGUCGGAAAAAACCUCUCACCAUUUUCACCCGCAUAAAUUUUUGUUCGGUCGGAAUCGGUAAACGGGAAAGUCAGAAACGGAUAACGGCCGGUAAAUUCUGGUAUAUCGAAAACGGUUAAAUACGAGCAAAAUAGCUCGAAAUUGAUCGGGAAACGGUAACUGUAAUCGGAAAAGCUCACAAUAAACAAAUCCUAAUCACACAGAUGUUCAUUCACAUCCACAUACAAGUCUCAUUCACAAAAGUACACAAAACACAAUCUUGUCCACAUAUAAUUGGUCAUACACUCAUACAUGUCCACUCUUAAAUUUUAACACACAACACAUAAGUCUUAAAACACGAUUGUUCAUUAACAUUCACAUACAAGUCUCAACCACACAAAUAUACAAUACAUAGUCAUGACCACACAUAAAUGAUCAUACAUGUUCACUAAAGUUUUAUCCACAUAGUAUGUAAGUCUUAAACACACGAUACAUAAACUAGAAAUCAUGUGGCAUGUCGUCUGGAUCACUUGAUAUAUCUUCUAUGACAUCUAAAACCCUAAUCUCUAAACCCUAACGGGUAUAGUUCUUGCCUCUUUUGUUUUUUUGUUGACCGGGGAAAUACGGUUAAAAUACGGGAAAAUACCGGAUUUUCCCGAAAAUUCCGAAAACGGACGGUAAAUAUGUCUCACCGUUUACCGUACCAUUUUCGUAAUAACACAUCCCGUUUCCGUCCCGUUUUCCGUAUAUCCCGAAAAAUCUGAAAACGGUCGGAAAAAUCUAGUAAACGGUACCGGAAAUUUACCGAAUUUUACCGACCAUUUACAUCCUUACCUCCAUGGCAGUAAUGACGAGACGAGGCAGAGGAUAGCACUAGAGAUGAGCCGAUCAUCGAAGUGUACAAUCUAGGGUCUAGCGUGGAUGCACUAGAUGUAAUAGUUAGUGUUGGUUAGUUAGUUAAAAAUUUGCCAGUGGAAUUAGCUAGCUAGGCUAGCUAACUAUUAACUAAUUUGCCAAAAAAAACUAAAAGCUAAAUUAUUAGCUAACUAACUAUUAGCUUUGAUUAGCUUUGAUGUAUUCAAACAGGGUCUUAGCAGCCUACUAUAAAGAUGAGUAAGCUGCUGAAGAUAGUCUUAGAGCAUGUUUGGCAACAAUGUUGCUCAAAACCAUAGUUUUAUAAUACUAUACUUUACAAUUGUCAUAACAAUACCAUAAUUUUGGUAGCUCUAAAAAUACCAUGGUUUUGAGAAAUAUUGUUUGGAUACAACAUUGUAAAUCAUGGUAUUAGACAACAAUUAGCCAUGCCAUUAAAAUUUCAGGUGUACGUGGAGUUUCCAAUACUCCAAAAAUAUAAUGGUAUCUAGAAUCCCAUGGUUUCGAAAACAUAGUUUUCAUGGUCGCAACGAAACACCUUAUGACAUAAGGUACUAUGGUAGUAUUGAAAACCAUGGUAUUGCCUAGAAACAAAAAAAAGACUUCACUUGCAAACAACCCCUUAAAUCGAUGGAUACAAAGACCCCCGGCUAGAUAUUUACGAUCCCUCCUCCUCUGUCACUCAUUCUCUGAAUAGAUAUUUGAUGUCCUCUGCUUACUUUCCCCCCUUUGUCCCCUUCUCUAAAUAUUUGAAAACCUAUUGCACACUUUAGCUUUUUUUAUAUAUGUUUCUUAGAUAACUAGGAAAAUGUAAAGAAACUGUCAAUAAGUAUCUGUCAAUAUAUAUUUACUUCUUAAAUAUUUCUAAAAUCUCUGAGUCACUAUCCAUGUGAUUGGAUGCCUGGACGUGCGUAACUAAGCUCGCAUGAGCCUGUUUCGCUGGAUACGGCCAAUUUUUAUGUAUCUGUGGAUACAUGCAAAUAAGUCUAGAUUGUAUCGGUGCAUACGCGUCAGUAUGACUAGAUGCAGCGAACUAAACACAGGUUGAGCCAUGAAAAAGAGCCUAAGCACAAGUAUCCAUAAGCUCGGCCGCGAAACCAAGGACUCGAUCAGCAAUUGGAUCGGAGGAGAGCCUGUAGCCAGAAAGACGCUAUGAUUUUUUUUUUUUACACUCGUGUACAACUUGACCCGUCCUCUUACAACCGACCUCGUGGCUAAUGUGUAACCACCGUCCACUCUGAUCAUCGUAAAAUACGCAAGAUAGUAAGAUACAAUAACAGAUCCAACAUACACGACAUAGGUUAUUAUCUCAGAAAGAGAGAGAUUGAACUUGUAUAAAAACUUUCCUGUGCUUUUAUCUUUAGUUUUCGAUCUUGUGAUCUAGUUAACAUCGACUCAUCGAAUAACCUUCGACAGAAAGGGGAGGGAGAUUAGACGUGUUGGAUGAUGGCUUAAUUACAUACAGGUCACAACUCACAGCCGACGCGACGACGACGAUGAGGAGGAGCAAAACAGCAGAGUGGUGGGGGAGAGAAGAGAAGGAAGAAGGCAGCAGCUUACUACUAGCACGUACAAUACAAUACAAUACACAGUGCAUAGUACAGGCACAGCAGCAGUACUAGUCUAGCAGUGGUACAUGUACAAGUACAAACAACCCGUGCGGGCAGCGGGCGGAGAAGGAAGCGAGGACGCCGCGCGCGGGCCACGAGGCAGAGGCAGAGGCAGAGGCAGGUGCAGCAGCGCUUCACUUCACCUCACUUGGGUCCCCAGAGCAGCAGGUGCAUGACCUUGGCCGUCUUGGCGUGGCCGUGGCGGUGGUCCUCCCGCUCCCGCCCGCGCCACCCCGCCGUCUCCCUCCCGGCCCGGGCCGCCGCGUCGCGCGCCAGCGCGCGCAGGGCGGCCAGCUCUGGCCACCUGCUGCUGGUGCUCUCCUCGCGCCCGUCGCUCAUGUCGGCUGCUGCUAGCUGCGCCGUAGUAGGUUAGGUAGCUAGGCCGUAGCUGUAGCACUAGCACACUGGUUCUCUUCUUGCUCUGUGGCCGAACCGCACGUAUGCCGUUGUCAGCUGGAAACCUCGCCGGCCGCUUAUAUAAGCGCGGGCGCGGGCAGUCUACUAGCGUGACGCACUGACCGACGGCAGGCAGGCAGCACAGGUGGAGUGGGGUGGGGCGCGCGAGUAGUAAUUGAAGAUAAGAAUCGACGACGAUAAAUAUCGCGUGGUGGCGUCAUUCGGUUUCGACGAGAGGCCGUGCGUGGAAAUGGAUCGAGUGGCCGGGAACAUCUGGCUGACGUGCCGCCCGCCGGCCGGCCGUCUGCUGGUCGCCGUCGGGAUCAGACAGACGAGCCAUCGGGCCGCGGCCCACCGGGCGUUGGUCGGGCGGUCGCUGAGCAUCCAGGUGGGGGAGUGCAGGCCGAGGGUGUGGGGGCUGUGCUUCG
rnacentral:lncRNA from 1 species